AUGUUAUUUUGCAUAUGUAAAAAGCAGUAAAAAAACUGUAAAUUUAUAUUUAUUUAUAAAUAUUUAACUAUACGUUUCAUGUUUUUGACAUCUAUUGAACUUAUCUAUUGAACAAAUAUGUAUUCACGAGCAUCAAAUAUUUAUGGAUCAUCGCGAAGUGCUAGGUUGCGUACGAUCUUCGAAGUCAAGCAGUGUCGACAGCGGUUCAGAGUUGGAUGGGUGACCGCAGAAGUUUUAUUAGGCAAUGCCAAAUGUCCUGUUUUGGAUGUCCAAUGAACGUCUGAAGUUGUGAACAACGAGCGUUCAUAGGACGUCCACUGGACGAAUCUUAUUUGGUUACUCAACAGAUGUCCCGAUGUCCAAGCUCGGACGUCCAGUGGACGUUCAAUGAACGUUCAUGUGCUGUCUGGGAAGUGUCACUCUAUCUUGCAAAGCAAUAAAUUUAUCGUUAAAGUUAAAACUAACAGAUAUAUUGUCAAACCUAUUAUUGACAAAAUACAUAGCGAUAUGUUCCCUGUUUUGGAUUCUGCCAAUUAUUCUUACAUCAUUCGAACAACUGUUCUUCUUAAAAUUUAAAAAAACGUAAAGAAUAACUGAAGGAUAAUAUAACUUUAUAAAAGCUGAAGAAAUUUUCACAAGGAUUAGAACAGUUAUAUUAAAAGCAAGAGAGGAAGAAACACUAUUUGAGCGUAAAGUAGAAGAGUAGACGAGUAAAGAAAGAAAGAUGUAAAAGAGAGAUCAACCUCACAGCUUGGAAUUUACAGUGUGCCGAACAGAAUAUGUGGACCUUGAAGGUAUCAAAUAACAUAAUUUUACUAAAAAAGUUAUAGGAUGAAGUAAACAAUUUAUUUUUUGUGUGAGAAAGUAUCUAUUACAAUUUAACUUGUUCCGAGAAAACCUUUGCAAAAGAUUUAAUAAAGAACAAGCAAUUUGAUGAGAUUAUCAUAUCAUUAUUAUCAUAUUUAUUAUUCGAAUUUUAAAGAGAAACAGUAAGAAAUUUUAUUAAUACAUUAUUAAAAAAUUGUUGGCUGUUACACCAAAAUUCUCUUUCUUGUAAGCUGAUGUAUGCUAUUGAUAAAAAAUUCACCGAAGUUCAUCCCUGUUUUAGCUCAGCGAAUUAUAUGUAUAGAGAAUUGACAGAGCAAUUCAUAUCAAAAGGAUUAUCUAAAGGUGUACGUCCUAGUUCUUCAAGUAUGUUAUUUUAUGGCAUUAUCUUAUGGCAGGCUAGAUUACUGAAAUAAAUAAAAAGCGUGAAAUCUGAUCUGAAACAAUUACAACAAAGUAUACAGACUAAUAUCACUCAACUAACCUGCCGAUGAUGUGGUCGCAGGCUGUAAUAUAGGAAAUAUGUUUAUGAAUGUCAAAGAUCAUCUGUAGGUCUUAAUCAUUUAGUAACUGUCAUGCAUUUUGUGUCAGCCAGAUAUACGCCUCAGAAAUAUACUGAUAAAGCUCUUAGUUACAUUAAAAACUAAAAAAAUAAUUUAAGAAUGACCAGUGGAUGUGCGUAUGAUUAUCUGGAAAUGUGCACAAAAGUGGAACUUGAGAAGGAACAUUUGAUUAUUCCCAUCUCUAAUUUGCUGGGUUUUAUUCUAAAAACAUAUAAUGGCUAUAAUUUAUUCUUACCUGUUCUAAUCCUUGUGAAAAUUUCUUCAGCUUUUAUAAAUUUCAGUUAUUCUUUACGUUCUUUUAAAUUUUAAGAAGAACAGUUGUCCGAAUGAUGUAAGAAUAAUUGGCAGAAUCCUGUAAUAUAAAAUUAGUUUUAAUAUGAUACGUCUUUAUAAAUUAUAUUUAUAAGUUUAUAACUGCCUUUAUAUAUUGCAUGAUUUACACAUAUGCUAGGUGACUUUUGUAACUAGAAAUGUAUGUAAAACUAGCAGCCCAAAUAAUAAAUUAUCUUUAAAUUUA